GGAAUGCAGCCCAAAACAGGUGGUAAAUGCCAUCUAAGGCUAAAUACCGGCACAAGACCGAUAGCCAACACGUACAGUAAGGGAAAGUUGAAAAGAACUUUGAAGAGAGAGUUCAAGAGGGCAUGAAAUCAUUAAGAGGUAAACGGGCGGGGCCCACACAGUCCGCCUGGAGGAUUCAACCCGGCAAGUUGUGGUCGGCCAGCAUGGGUCUGGCAGAUCCCCACCUCCACCUCCCCUCCACCCCCGGGGCACUCACCCGCGGGGGCGGGCUGGGGGGACGGGCUGGCGCAGGGACUGCUGCCCAGCCGGUCUGUGGCCGGGCACAUUUCCUCCGUAGCGAUACACUGCGACCAGCUCUGGGGCGGCUGGGAAGGCCUCCAGUGGGUGUUACAGCCCCUGGGCAGCAGGUCUCACCGAAUCCCGGGGUCAAGGGAGAGGACUGCUGCUGCACCCUCCCCCCCAGCAGUGCAGGGCCACCUGGCCUGUGGUACGCGGGGGAGGUGAGCCCGCUGGCCCCCAGCACUGCUGUCAACCGGGACGGAGUGAGCUCAGUGUGCCCUGACUGCACGCACUGCCGGGCUGUGUGUGGCUGCGCCUGGGCACCUGGGGUCCGCAGCGGUGUCAGCUACCCACCCGACCUGUCUUGAAACACGGACCAAGGAGCCUAGCACGUGCAUGAGUCAGGGGCCAUCCCAAAAGCCUGUGGCGUAAUGAAGGUGAGGGCCGGCGCACGCUGGCUGAGGUGGGAUCCCGGGGCACGUUGAGCGAGAAGCCCCGGGCACACCACCGGCCCGUCUCCUCUGCGCUGCCUGGCCGGGGAGGUGGAGCGUGAGCAUCUGUGCUAGGACCCAAAAGAUGGUGAACUAUGCCUGGGCAGAGUGAAGCCAGAGGAAACUCUGGUGGAGGUCCGUAGCGGUCCUGACAUGCAAAUCAGUCUUCUGACCCGGGUCUAGGGGCGAAAGACUAAUCAAACCCUCUAGUAGCUGGUUCCCUCCAAAGCUUCCCUCAGGAUAGCUGGCACUUGGCAAUGGGCACUUUUACUCGGUAAAGAGAAUGAUUAGAGGUCUUGGGGCCAAAAUUAUUUCAACCUAUUCUCAAACUUUCAAUGGGUAAGGGAGCUGGCUCGCUGGUGUGGAGCCGUGCCAUGGAAUGCGAGUGCUCAGUGGGUCACUUUUGGUAAGCAGACCUGGUGCUGCGGGGUGAACCAAAUGCCAGGUUAAGGCGCCAAAUGCUGAUGCUCAUCAGCGCCCAGAAAAGGUGUUGGCUGAUCUAGACAGCAGGAUGGUGACCAUGGAAGUCGGAAUCCACUAAGGA
rnacentral:ncRNA from 1 species